AUGGAAAUGUUGAUUAAAAAUGGCUGGUAAAACUUAUCUGUAAAAUACUUUAUCUUUGUGCUGUACAUUUGUACUGUGUUAAAGGCUAAGAAGUAAUUGUAAUAAACUCUUAUAGUCUUGCCUUUUAAAAACUGAUUGUCAUUAUCUCAAACUGUGACUCACAGGGUGCUGGUAUAGAAAUCUACCCUGGGAGUCAGUGCACCCUGAGUGACAAUGGGAUCCAUCACUGCAAGGAAGGGAUCCUCAUUAAGGACUUCUUAGAUGAACAUUAUGACAUUCCCAAGAUAUCCAUGGUGAAUAAUAUAAUACAUAAUAAUGAAGGUUAUGGUGUUGUCUUGGUGAAACCUACAAUCUUCUCUGACCUGCAAGAAAAUGCUGAAGAUGGAACUGAAGAAAAUAAAGCGCUUAAAAUUCAGACAAGUGGAGAGCCAGAUGUGGCUGAAAGAGUGGAUCUAGAAGAGCUGAUUGAGUGUGCAACUGGUAAAAUGGAGCUUUGUGCAAGAAUUGACCCUUCUGAGCAAGUCGAGGGAAAUUG
rnacentral:sRNA from 1 species